rnacentral:rRNA from 1 species
UACGUAGGUGGCAAGCGAUACUCGGAAUCACUAGGCGUAAAGCGCAGGUAGGCGGCUCGAUAAGUCUCUUGUGAAAGCUCCCGGCUCAACUGGGAGAGGUCAAGGGAAACUGUUGGGCUAGAGUGUGGUAGAGGAAACUGGAAUUCCCGGUGUAGCGGUGAAAUGCGUAGAUAUCGGGAGGAAUACCUAUGGCGAAAGCAGGUUUCUGGGCCAUCACUGACGCUGAGCUGCGAAAGCUAGGGGAGCAAACAGGG